ACACACCGCCCGUCACACCAUGAGAGUUGGAAAUAACCCGAAGCCUGUGAGCUAACUGUAAAGAGGCAGCAGUCGAAGGUAGAGCCAAUGAUUGGGGUGAAGUCGUAACAAGGUAGC
rnacentral:rRNA from 1 species